ensembl:misc_RNA Metazoa_SRP Metazoan signal recognition particle RNA
GCUGGGUGUGGUGGUGCAUGCCUGUAAUCCCAGCUACUCAGGAGGCUGAGGCAAGAGAAUCGCUUGAACCUGGGAGGCGGAGGUUGCAGUGAGCCAAGAUCAUGCCACUGCACUCCAGCCUGGGUGACAGAGUGAGACUUUGUCUCAC